UGUGUGGGUACCUAACGGUCUUACCUCCCAACAUCCAGAAAACUCGUUACCAGCUCCUCUGUGAAGCCGGAGAGCAAAGUCUCUGCUCUGAGCAUCAGGCACUCGUCCAGCACAGGGGCCAAAGAAUGGCCGAGGGUGCAGGAGAGGAGAGACUGAGAAGAAACCAUGGAAAGGUAUGUACUUGUCUGUGCGCAGGAAUGUGCACAUGAAUGCAGAUAUCCACAAAGGCCACAAGAGGGCACUGGAUCCCCUGGAGCUGGAGUAGAGGUUGGUUCUGAGCCAUCUGAUUACUGAAAUUCUAGUCAAUCUCUGCAGACAUGGCCUCUUUCACUACCAUUGAAUUCCAG
ensembl:lncRNA